AGAGGAGCGAGCCAAGCACCCGGGCAGUCAUUUGACGUGGCACAGGGCAGCAGAGAGAGAGGAGGUAAACACCGGUGGGGAGCAAAGGUGUGCGUGUCUGACGUGUUGGAGCACGCUUGCAGCAGGUAAAAAAACAAACAGAAUUGCAGUUCGGAAGACCAACAGUGCAGCUGUAUUGACUUGAUUCAAACCGACAGGCAGCACAUUGAGGCUGGUGGAGCGAGCUCAGGAUCAAAGACAGACAGCGGCGGGCCCCGAGUCAGGAUCAACGUCCAUGGAAAUUCCUCCUCGGUGCUUCUCCAAACAGGAGGGUGUGGCCUGCUGGAGUGUGUAUCUACAGAAUGGCGUAUGUGCACACACAAGACACACACAAUUUGGCACAUUUGAUUGAUCUUAAAUGAACAUCUCUGCAGUUUUGGGAAGUUUCGUCACUUUUUGUACGAUUUUGUACGCAAAUAAUAAAAUGGUGCCCUCGUGAACUGUAGCUGACCAGAGGAACUAUAUAACUGAUCACCCUGAAGUCUCAUCUGCAACCAUUCAGAUAUACUGCUGUUUCAGAAUCACUUUCAAAUUAAAAACAACUCCAGCUGUUCAGCCUUCUAAUCCCCGGAGGGCUUUUAUUGUGCAAUAUUACCAGGAAGUGUUGACAUUCAAGGAGAGAAGCUUAACACUGUCACGCAAAACAUCAUUGAUUGGAAAUUGCCAGCAGUUAUCUUUAUUUGGUGUCUUUUUUGUUUUCACCUAAAGGAGCUUCAAAGAAAAAAUAGAAAAGGAUGUGACUGCAAUGAGCUAUCUGGACUUUUAAAUGAAGUACUCCACUGUGUGCCAGAUAACAACCGUCCAUUAAAAUAGACCUCAAGAGAAUCUGCAUGUGAGGUGUCUGUCCCUAUAAAAUAACUAAGACUUCCUGAAGACCUGCAGCUUGGCGUGGGAAAACUUGAGCAAAAGACAUUCCAGAUUCACUUGUGUCUUGUGCAUAAACAGACACAUUGUGCUGUCGACUCUCUCCCGACCAGCUGAGGUAUCCUCACAUACCUGCCUCACAUUCCACGCGUGCAGCCAGUUCACUCUGGAGGGGCAGCGGGACUGCAGCCCUCCAGGUCUGAGCCGGGGAGGACACAGAACAUCUGAGGAUGGACUGAGAGGCCGAGCCAAACGCGUUAUGCAAUCAGCCAAAAUAACAAUCCAUCUCUUUUUGUGAUUCCCUGCCCAGUACACUUGGAUUCUUGGGAAGUUUAUCGGUGCCUUUUCAACUGUUCUUCAAGUGGAGCUCCGAGUCUGAGACACUGGUUUAAAAAAAAAAAGAGCAGUCGCUGGUAGCGGAUCAUGAGAGGUUUCACAGAAUAGGACGGAAAACGUAUUUGUGAAAAAUGUGCAAAAGUAUCUUUGGGAUUUUAUUAAGUAAAUACAUUUAACGGAGAAAGGAACUUCACUUUCUAGGGGGUGGGAGGGGUUUGCAAAUUGUGACAAGAGCUCACGAGUAGACGUUGCUCUUUUUAAAAGGUAUCACAAGCCACAAUGGGUUUUAAUGCUAUUUAAUUUAAAAUAUAAAAGUAUAAAAAUUAAAAACAAAUAAAGAUAAAGUCAAUAAAGAGUUGAAGAUGCUGAAGAAGCAGCUGUGAGGAUGAUGAUGAGUGCACUCAUUUAGAGUUGUUGCAUACUUGAAAGAAAAUGUCACUCAGAUAAAACAUUUUCUAAAUAUCCCUAUUGUCUGUUGAUCUAAACUUUUUUUUACUUCAUAUAGACAUUGUUAAUUUACGAAUCUGCAUACUUGAUAUAUAGAUGUGUCUGUGCCGUUUGCAUUUGCCCGGCUCAGGUUACACUUCCAAAGUACACGAGACAAGGUGAGAAAACUUGUGAUCGGAUUGUCGUGGAUGAGUUUCCAUGUUUAUGUUCUGGAGAGCUCUCGUGAUCAGAUGAACCCGAGAACCGGGUCAGUUUGUUCUGGACUCAGAAUCAGAGCCAAGUUGACCGAGUUCACAACAAAGUUAGCCAAGAUGAGUGCGCUUGUUAUUUUGGUUUGAGGUGAGGCCGCCCUCCCGGCUCUCUGACUGGGUGAAGGAGGGGUGAAGUUACAGCAAGACGAGAAGAAAACUGGCGUGAGGGAGAAGAAGGGCAGUCUGUAAUUAUCCCGAUCACACCUUUCCUCUGCUCUUCCCACGUCAACCUUCCAUGUCUAUAGGUUCCUCCCUCAGUGGUCCUCCUCUGUUCUGGCAGCCGUCGCUAGAACAGUUGGAACCUCCUUCGUUCACACUGCACACGUUAAAGCUGCACGUUGAGUCCCUUCACACACAGAUGCUGAUUAAUAUGUCACACAGUCAUCUGGAGACGGAAAACACACAGUUGCCAAACUACCGCUGAGAAUCACCAAACAAACAAAAAUCACAUCUCAAAUCCCAGCAAUCCCUCACGAUUUGCGGAAAGUGCGUUUGCACACACUGCGUCCGUAGAAAUCGGCCCGACGCGUUUGAGUUUAAAACCUCCACAAACACAGAAGUCCUGAGAUCACUCUCGUGAAUUUACAGAUCACAUAGCCAUAAUCCAAGAAUGGAAACUUCCAUAUCUUUCUAUUCCUGCUAAACAUUAAAGAGGCGUUCCUGUUUCUGUUCAAGAAGCAAAGAGACUCAUUUUGAGUAAGGUUUCUGACACCAAAAGAAACCCCUGUGUUGCAGCUACAUUCUGUGGUUCAGGCGGACAAAGGCAGGUGCUGUUAGACAUCAUCUGUACACUUUCAUUUCAACUUCAUCAUUUAAACUCCAUCUCAAAACAUUCUUGUUUACACUGGCAUUUGGUUGAUAUGAAUAUUCUAUGGCCUGCUUUUUAUCUUCUGUUUGUUUGUGUUAAUGAACUACUGUACUGCACUUUGUGACACUUUGUCUGU